rnacentral:rRNA from 1 species
CCUACGGGUGGCAGCAGUGAGGAAUAUUGGUCAAUGGACGCAAGUCUGAACCAGCCAAGUAGCGUGCAGGAUGACGGCCCUCCGGGUUGUAAACUGCUUUUAGUUGGGAAUAAAAGGGGGCUCGUGAGCCCCGUAUUGUAUGUACCAUCAGAAAAGGACCGGCUAAUUCCGUGCCAGCAGCCGCGGUAAUACGGAAGGUCCGGGCGUUAUCCGGAUUUAUUGGGUUUAAAGGGAGCGUAGGCCGGCUUUUAAGUCAGCUGUGAAAGUCCGCGGCUCAACCGUGGAAUUGCAGUUGAAACUGGUCUUCUUGAGUGAGCGAGAAGUAUGCGGAAUGCGUGGUGUAGCGGUGAAAUGCAUAGAUAUCACGCAGAACUCCGAUUGCGAAGGCAGCAUACCGGCGCUCAACUGACGCUGAGACACGAAAGCGUGGGGAUCGAACAGGAUUAGAUACCCCAGUAGUC